ensembl:lncRNA
CUCGUCUGGUGCGGCAGAAGGUGCCCUCCGGCCUUGUCUCUGCAGCUAGCAACUCUGCUGAUGGCGCCCAGUAGCAGGGUUUGGGGCAUGGGGAAAUUCUGUGGCAUAAAGAAGGAGGCUGAGCAGGAAUCAGGGGGUCACAUGCUUGCAGUCGAACACCCAGGCUUUCAGUAUUACAGAAGAAGGUGAAGCUGAGCACACAGGAAUUGCAAGUCCCCUGUUUCAUACAGAGAAGAUUUGUCUGAGGCAGUUCGCAGCCCACCGAAGCCCAUGAGAAUCCAGCUCUUUGGGGUUUGGGAGCCUGACUGAGCAGUGAACUACGAGUGAUGCUUGUCCUGCCUCCAAAAUAAUCGCACCUUCAUGCAACUGCCACUGCCCUGUGCCACUCAACAGCCUGGAGAGGGGCUAUAGGAAGGCAACCCACCGGGGCUGUUCUUUCCUGCUCUCCUGAAAUGAUUUUUGAGCACUAAUAGCUCUUUUCCACAGCUACAACCUCCCACCCGCCGCGUCUGCUUUGCGGAGAUAAGGCAGAGUCAUUCCUCCAGCUGGACCUGUGGUGCCUGGGGGGGUCUGGGAGAGCUGUCCCCGCCGGAGUGGGGCUGCCCGAGGGGGACAGACCCUCAGCCCGCCCCAGGGAGCGGCUCUCCGGGGAAGGAGCACUUGGGGCAGAAGCACCCCAGGCAGCGGGAGGGCGCCGGCUCGCUGCAGGCUCGCCCUCUACUUUUAGCUUCAUCCGAAACGAUUUGCAGCUCAAACGCCCCCCUGAGAGCCGCUAACCUUUGGAGGAGGAUUUGGCACCGUUAUCCUGCUCGGGUUCACGAGCUCGAGGAGCCCAGGAGCGACGCGGCUGCCUCCGUUCGUCCCUCCGUCCCUCCGUCCGUCCCGCACGGCGAUGGGGAGGGCAGCAGAGCCGCUGCUGCACAAAGUCUCGUUCUCGGAGCCCGUCCCGGCUCAGGCGAUGCCCGGGGGGGGUGUUUCCAACCGGGCAGCGAGGCAGCGGCUGCCGGGGUCGGGAUCGGGCUCGGCCUCCCACCGUUAGAACCGAGCAUGGGGUCACCGAGUGGUCGCAGAGGCACCCCCGGCACGUCAUCCCUCAGCUCGUGAACCCCGCGGACCUCGGCAGCCCUGAACUCCUCAGCAUCCCUCCGGCAUCACUGAAUACCCCCUCCGAACCCCCCCAGUUUCCCGUUUGCUUCGGUGUCAGCUGGUGCCUUGCCGGGUGCUGAGGUGCGAGGGUCCCUGGGCUAGGCGUAUGGUCAUGCUCCCUGCGGGGUUUGGGGUUUUCUUUUUUUCUUUUUUGUUUGGUUUUGUUUUAUGGUUUUGGUUUUGGGUUUUUUUUUUGUGCGUGGUGGGGUUUGGGAUUUUGGUUUGUUUUGGGGGUUUUUUUGUUUGGGUUUCUAAUUAUUAUUAUUUUAAUUUGAUUAGUUUAUUUUAAUUUUGAUUGUUUUCUUUUUAUUAUUUUUAUUUAGUCGGGUUGGUUUGGUUUUGUUGUUAUUUAUUUAUCUGGUUGAUUGGUUUGUUAGUUAUUAUUUCUGCCAGAACUGUCUCCCGGCACAUCUCAAACACGCCGGAUGCUCAACCACCAGCCGAAAGCCCGUCUCCUCCACCCUCGGCACGAUGCCGUUGGUGGCUCCCUCGUCCUCUCCCCGGCACCGGGGGCUGCGGAAGAGCGGGGGAGUUUAGGAAAUAUCCACGCACCGGGGGAAUUUUCGUCCUUUCUUCCCUGAUUUCCUGCAGCCUCCAGCAAUAGGUAUCUUCCACGUCUUCGUUCACAAUGAACUUGGCUUGGGCUAAAUUGGGAAAAGAAAAAA